rnacentral:lncRNA from 10 species
GGCCGGGUGGAGGGGUGCCUGGGGCUUCCACUCCUGAACAGAGAGCUUAACUGUCCUAGAGUUCAUGGGGAGCCACCUAGCCACACUGGAGCCCUUCAGAGCUCACCCUGGCUGCUGGGUGGAGAAAGGCCUAUAGAUGUCACAGGUGGAUCCUGGGAGGCCAGGAAGGAGGACUUGGAGCCAUCCACUAGCCUAGACUGGGCUGGUUGCAGUGACAGUACAGGGAGAAGUAUAGAAGAAUGGGCAUUGUCCAAGUAUGUUGGGGAGGGAUCCUGAAACUCCGCCACAUCUGGAACCUGAAGUUGAUGCGUUGGACCCCUGCAGCUGCAGACAUCUGCUUCACCAAGGAGCUACACUCCCACUUCUUCAGCUUGGGCAAGUGUGUGCCUGUGUGCCGAG